rnacentral:rRNA from 1 species
UACGUAGGGCGCAAGCGUUGUCCGGAAUUAUUGGGCGUAAAGAGCUCGUAGGCGGCUUGUCACGUCGGGUGUGAAAGCCCGGGGCUUAACCCCGGGUCUGCAUUCGAUACGGGCUGGCUAGAGUGUGGUAGGGGGAGAUCGAAUUCCUGGUGUAGCGGUGAAAUGCGCAGAUAUCAGGAGGAACACCGGUGGCGAAGGCGGAUCUCUGGGACGGUACUGACGCUGAGACGCGAAAGCGUGGGGAGCAAACAGG